GGGCGGAUCCCGGUGAUGGCGCGCGGCGGUCACGCGCGGGGACGGCGGCGUGAUUUCGGGCGCCUGCCCGAGGUAGGGGACGACCCCGACAGGUGGGCCCCACCUGUCGGUGGCUCGGGCGCGCGUGAGCGGGCGGCUGGGCCAGCUGGGCGGUGUCGCGCGCGGGGGAGUUGGGCCGGUUCGGCCCAAUUCGGCCGGGCCGGUCCGUUUACCCCUUUUUUUUUUCUUUUAGACCUUUUCUUUUUCUAUUUUUCCCAUUUCUUUGAUAUCUUUUGAGUUUGAACUCCAAAUUGGUCCAAAUGAAUUCCAGAAAAUUUGUAAAAUCAUGUUCCACCAUGAUACAACUUUUGGAAGUAGUUUCUCUUCAAAAUAACAUAUAUAAAAAUACAUUUGCCCUAUAAAUGCCCUUAGGGCUAUAUAUCCAUUUAAAUAAAAUACUUUUUCAACUCCAAAUAAUUAUCCAAAAAUUAUGGGAUAGCUCAUAUGUGCAAUAAACCCCUUAUAUAUAUAAACUUUAAUGGUUUGAAAAUCCAAGGCUCAAUUAGGUGUAAACAAAAUCUUUUAAAGCCUUUUGUGAUUCAAAUUUGAAUUCAAACAUACAAUUGUGGCAUGAUGCUCAUGGAUGCAAUGCACAUGUAAAGGUUUGAAAUUUUGGGAUGUUACAGCGCCUUUUAUAGGCGCGGGGGAAGGGCUUGCCACCGCGUGCAACGUAUCAGCGCAGCACCCGUGGCAUCCCUUCCUUUGAAAUGUGGUACAGUCUUUGCCACCCUGCAUGCCAAGUUGCUUUGGCACACGUGGCGGCGCCCUCCCGAGUCAGGAGCCUCGGAGUGCGGUGAGUCCCUUGUGUUGCGGUCGUCCCGAACCACAAGGCACUGCUCCAUGCCGUGACCCGUGGGCAGCCCAUAGGUAUUACAGUGCGUAAGAUUCUACCUUUUCCUGCAGAUUAGAUUCUUACCAGGCCCGAGGUGCUGCAAUUUUUUUUUCGAAAUCUACGAAAAUACAGAGAGCAACAUGAGUA
rnacentral:lncRNA from 1 species